GACGAACGCUGGCGGCGUGCUUAACACAUGCAAGUCGAACGGAGUGCCCAUGACAGAGUUUCGCAAUGGAUUGGGUUACUUAGUGGCGGACUGGUGAGUAAACGCGUGAGGAACCUGCCUUUCAGAGGGGGACAACAGUUGGAAACGACUGCUAAUACCGCAUGACAUAUAUUAAGGGCAUCCUUGAUAUAUCAAAGAUUUUUAUCGCUGAAAGAUGGCCUCGCGUCCGAUUAGAUAGUUGGUGGGGUAACGGCCCACCAAGUCGACGAUCGGUAGCCGGACUGAGAGGUUGACCGGCCACAUUGGGACUGAGAUACGGCCCAGACUCUACGGGAGGCAGCAGUGGGGAAUAUUGGG
rnacentral:rRNA from 1 species